AUUGAACGCUGGCGGCAGGCCUAACACAUGCAAGUCGAGCGGAUGAAGGGAGCUUGCUCCUGGAUUCAGCGGCGGACGGGUGAGUAAUGCCUAGGAAUCUGCCUGGUAGUGGGGGAUAACGUCCGGAAACGGGCGCUAAUACCGCAUACGUCCUGAGGGAGAAAGUGGGGGAUCUUCGGACCUCACGCUAUCAGAUGAGCCUAGGUCGGAUUAGCUAGUUGGUGGGGUAAAGGCCUACCAAGGCGACGAUCCGUAACUGGUCUGAGAGGAUGAUCAGUCACCCUGAACCGGGAACAGGUUCAGACUCCUACGGGAGGCAGCAGUGGGGAAUAUUGGACAAUGGGCGAAAGCCUGAUCCAGCCAUGCCGCGUGUGUGAAGAAGGUCUUCGGAUUGUAAAGCACUUUAAGUUGGGAGGAAGGGCAGUAAGUUAAUACCUUGCUGUUUUGACGUUACCAACAGAAUAAGCACCGGCUAACUUCGUG
rnacentral:rRNA from 1 species